UGGUGGUGUGAAUUGUCUGGUUGAUUCCGUUAACGAACGAGACCUUUGCUGGUAAAUAGGUACGGGAAGGUUUUGCGUAAAGGUGUAGUGGGCCAACUUUAGGAAGGAUCCGUUCCCCUAGAGUUGCCGAUCCGCUACAUUGCAUAGCUUCCUGGAGAUCCUUCUUACUAGGACUAUUGGUGACAAGCCAAUGGAAGUUGGAGGCCAAAACA
rnacentral:rRNA from 1 species